GGCUGCGUAGUGUAGCGGUUAUCACUUCAGAUUCUGAUAUCGUGAAUUCUGGCGACCCCGGUUCGAUUCCGGGCGCGGCCU